GACGAACGCUGGCGGCGUGCUUAACACAUGCAAGUCGAACGGAAAGGCCUUUUCGGAGGUACUCGAGUGGCGAACGGGUGAGUAACACGCGGGUGAUCUGCCCUGCACUCUGGGAUAAGGCUGGGAAACUGGGUCUAAUACCGUAGAGGACCGCACUUUAGUGUGUGUGUUGGAACGCGUUUUCGGUGUAGGUUGAGCCCGCGGCCUAGCAGCUUGUUGGUGAGGUAAUGGCCUACCAAGGCGGCGACGGGUAGCCGGACUGGGGGGUUGGUGGGCCACAUUGAGACUGGGACACGGCCCAGGCCCCGACGGGUGGGAGAAGUGGGGAAUGGUGAUCAAAGAGCGCGGGCCUGAUCCAGAGCCGCCGAGUGGGGGAUGACGGCCUACGGGUUGUAGAUGCAUAGCGCCAGGAGCGAGGCGUUUUGUGACGGUACCAGGAGAAGAAGCACCGGCUAACUACGUG
rnacentral:rRNA from 1 species